GUUAGCCCCAGUUAGCCCCAGUUCAAGGAUGCUGUUUUUAAAUAUGUGAGUAUGUUCUUAUUGCCUGGUGCCUAUGCCCGAGGACAGUUAAAUACAGCAUCACUUCCAGUGGUCCAGGAAGGCCUCUUCAAAGAGGUAACAGUUAAGGCUGAGUCUAAAAGCAUAAGAAAUAACCACUACUGAGGAGCAGCACUGAGGAAACAACCGGCGGAGAGAGGAGCACAUACCAAUUGCCGCUGCACAUCUGAGCUUAAAAUGCUCAAGUGUGAGUACAGCAGAGGCAGUCAAGGUGGCAGGAUUGGUAAGGUCUUGCCACACAGGACACAGCAACACCUCUGUUUGUUCAGGAUUUCAGAACUUGCAAGGGUUCCACUGGAAGCAUUGUCUUCCGCAAUGGAUGUGGGAAAGAAACUAGUGCUUGCAGACAAGAAAAAGGAGAUUUUGAGUGUCCACUGAAGAACCACAAGGUUCAUUAAUUUGGAGAAGUGAGCUUUAUUUCUUAUAAAGGGUUGUAGCCUGCAGGCUGGCCAUCGUGCAGGCUGGGAAUCGUAGCCUCCAGCAGAGACCAGAAGCAGGCACUUCGAAGAGGGAAGGAGAGACAGCAACUUUUGCAGAAUCCAUUGGCUAAGUAUACAUAUUCAAUAGGCUAUAGGAGAAGCUAUGAGUAUUCAUGAAUGAGGGUGUGCACAUGCAUAGUAAGUUAACAUUUGUGUUACAUAUGUCCCAUGGUCACUUUGGGGUGGAGACUUAACAUUUAGAUGUAGUACAAUCAGGCCCUGUACAUCAAAAGGUGAAGCAGAGGACACAAAGCUGCUCCAUGCACAACCUCCAUAAACUAACCAGAACUAUCCCAUGGUGGGUGGUCUCUCAUCAGGAAGGAAUGCUGGUCAGUUGUUAUGUUAAAACUGCAAAAGAGAGGGGAGUCUGAUGAAAUCAGUGGUGGAGACUUUCAAAAGGGCUGGUUUCUGUUUAAUCCCUAGGAAAGAAAACCUAAUCGUGGUUAGCAAGGUAGGGGGUAAAAUGAGGCAUGUCUGAGCUCCCAUCCAUCAUGGUUGGGAACUCGGUUUUUAAGGUUUCUCUGGGGUUAGGUAGGAAACUUAGGAUUUUAUUUUUAUAUCUUACAAGUUAAAGAGACACGGGACAUCGCAGGUCAGGAGAUCCAGUAAGUAUUA
rnacentral:lncRNA from 1 species